rnacentral:rRNA from 1 species
CCUACGGGAGGCAGCAGUGGGGAAUAUUGGACAAUGGGCGAAAGCCUGAUCCAGCCAUGCCGCGUGUGUGAAGAAGGUCUUCGGAUUGUAAAGCACUUUAAGUUGGGAGGAAGGGCAGUUACCUAAUACGUGAUUGUUUUGACGUUACCGACAGAAUAAGCACCGGCUAACUCUGUGCCAGCAGCCGCGGUAAUACAGAGGGUGCAAGCGUUAAUCGGAAUUACUGGGCGUAAAGCGCGCGUAGGUGGUUUGUUAAGUUGGAUGUGAAAUCCCCGGGCUCAACCUGGGAACUGCAUUCAAAACUGACUGACUAGAGUAUGGUAGAGGGUGGUGGAAUUUCCUGUGUAGCGGUGAAAUGCGUAGAUAUAGGAAGGAACACCAGUGGCGAAGGCGACCACCUGGACUAAUACUGACACUGAGGUGCGAAAGCGUGGGGAGCAAACNGGAUUAGAUACCCUGGUAGUCCACGCCGUAAACGAUGUCAACUAGCCGUUGAAGUCCUUGNGUNUUAGUGNGCNGCUACGCAUAAGUUAGACGCCGUGGAGGACGGCCGCGAAGUAAACGUUAAAGUAAGUAGAGCGUGAGACGUGCCGACGGACGACGACGAGGGAGGAGG